CUACACAAAAUGCGGUUGUAGCUGCCUCUCUACAUUACUACAAUAGAAAAGAGGUGUUAUUUGUGUAGUAACAGUGUUUAGCUCAGGAGUUAGUGACUCGGGAAACUCCAAUCUGCACUCUAAAAAACGAUUUGUUGGCUGAACAACCAUUACUUAUAAAAAUAAAUAAACUAAACACAAAUAACAAAGUAAUUUUAACUUUUCAACCUCUACUUAGCAUAUAUAGCGUCUGUAACAUAAAUAUAUAAGUUACAAGGUGAACCUAAGUGUAUGCCUAAAUAUAAUGAUAAAACAUAAGUCACGUCAACUAGUAUUAAAAUUGCAUCAAAACUAAGUAAUUAUAACAUAAUAUUUUAAGUAUAUGACUGAGCCACGUGAUAUGCAAAUCUGGAAAAAACUGGAUCCAUCUGGUGAUGCACAUGUGAAGACGGUGGAAAGAGUGUUAGGUGAAGAUAUUUUCUGAAACGCAAAGAGGCGAAGACGCUGAAAAGAGGUAAGAUUUGUCGUUUUAAGGUACAUUCGUUUAUUUGUGUUAAUGCGUUUGUGGUCAAGAAAGAAGCUUUUUUUAAAUUUAAUUUCUGAAUUGCUACGAAUUUAGCUUCAACAAUUAGAAAUGUGUUACUUAAAUACUUAUAAAAGUCUAGUUUGUACAAAUAAGUUAUUGUAUGAAAGGAGGAACGAGUGUGCAAGCGAUUGUGCGACAGCUAAAGCAGACUCCAUCGAAUGAAUGUUCUAGUGGUUAAUUUGUUUAUUUCAGAGGAAUAUGACCAUGCAUCGCGUUGGCACGUUUGCAUUAAGAUAAUUCUGUUCCCGCCCUGGUCCGUGUAAUAUUAGGUCAUUUUAGUAUAUACAAUCUUUUACUGAAAAGGUCUAUGUUAGUAAGACACUGCAAUGUCUUGCCUAUUCAUAAUAAGUAUAAAACUGUUUUUUUUUCUCCUUCUAGUUCAGAGCAAGAAAGUGUUGCAUAGGGGGCAACAUGAAGGAAGCGUCCUGUUGGAAGUGAACUUUCAUUUGUUAAUGUGACACAUUUGGUGUACAUUCAUGAUGUGUGGUUUUAGGCUUCACCAUUGCAUUGCAGCCUCUUUCAAAAAAUAAAGUGAAAUGCUUAAUUUUG